CCAAACCUGGUCUUCGCCCAUCUUAAAAACGGUCAGGGAAUGCCUGAACCUCGGAGUCCUGAUUCCUCUUGUUCUCUUAUGUCACAAGUCCCCAGGGGCUCCCUCCAAAACCCCUCCUGAAUCUCGGCCCUCUCGUCUCUGAAUGUACCGCUGCCCCCCAGCCCAUGUGGCCGCCAUCCUCCCCGAGACAAUGACCACAGCCUCCUACCUGGCCUCUGCUUCCUCCCUGCUGUGCCCGUGCCCCCCGCAACACAAACACACUUGGUUGUCUAUACAGCAGCCAGUGGGUUUUUUUGUUUUGUUUUGUUUUGAAGUAACUUAACAGGUCAUGGCAACCCCCUGCUUAAAACCCCCUAGCAAUUUUCCACUACACGGAGAAUAAACUCCAGUGCCCUUCAGGGGCCGACGAGGCCUAUGUGAUCUGGCCCCUGCGGACCUCUGCCCCGGCUCCUAUCACAUUCUUCCUCCUCCCUCCACUCCCAACACACAGGGCUGAUGGCUGCUCCGUCAUCCCGCAGGGCUCACGGCCACCUCGGGACCUGUGGGCUGGGCUGGAGCAGUCUCGUCCAAGAUACCUGCAAGGCGGGCUCUUCCUUGUCCCCAGAGAGAUCUUCCUGCCCCUCUCUCGAGCCCUCACCCCAUCCGGCCCCCCGUCUCUCCCGUCGCCCUGUUUGAUUUCCUUCCUGUCUCUGAAACGGUCAUGUUUAUCAGCUCUUUCGCUUAGCUACGGUCUCCCCCGCUCAGACUCCAGCCCCAAGACGGCGGAGGCCCCGCCAAUCCCAUCCCAGGGCCCAGCAGGUACCUGGCGCGCGGCUGGCACUCAACACUGACUUUGGAACUAAAAGUGCCCAAACGCAGGUACUUUUCUCCAGGAUGGCAUUGUUCUCCGACGACGUUCUGAGAACAAAUCUGAUCGGACAAAAACGGCGGCCUGUCGUUUCACCGCUGGAUCAUUUUCCACCUCGCUUUGGCUUCUGAUCUGCUUUGGAGCGGAGGCACAGAGCAAGCGCGUGCUGGGAAUUAAUCAGGAAAGAGCCGUUCGAGGAGGACAGCACGGGCAGCUUCAAUGACUAGUUCUGCACAAUUACCGCCACGGAAACAUCUGGUGAGACAGAAACUCUCAUGGCAAGAGGGGAGGGGGUGGUGGGGAGAGGGCUUUCGGUCCGGCACGGCCAGGAGGUGGGCACCGCGGCUCUUAUAAUGAGAUGGCCGGCUCUCCGAGGGUGUUCGUGUACGUUCCGCGAACGGCCCGGAGCACCGCCUGACCUCUAGCCGUCCGCUGCCCCAGCUCUCCCCAAGGCGUCUGGCGGAGCGGGGACAGAAGGAGGGAAGCAGGUGCACCGUCAAAUCCUCGCAGGGGCCAGGGAGGUGGGAGACAGAUGCGCUGACGUAGGACCUCAGGGCGUGAUGGGGGGCGUGGGCAGCUGGGAGGCUCAGGCCUUGCCUGAUGGUGCUUAAAUCUGAGACGUUUUCAGCACUCUGCGGCCAAAGAAGCAGCAUCUGUGGGUGGAUUUGGUCCAACGAUCACCAGAGUGGGCUCCCUGGCGGGGAACCAAGCAGUGGUCACUUCUCCGGGGAUUCCAAGGGUGAAGAAACUAAAAGGCUGCAUCAUCUCAUGCAGCCCUUGGAGCAAAUCCGCACAGUGGGCAUUAGGACCCAUCUUGCAGAUGAAGACAGUGAGGCUCAGCCUUCCCUGAGGUCACGCCGCUCGUGCGCACGAGCGGUUAGCCACUCUGCCUGGCAUCUCCCUUGGGGUCAAGCUAGAUCCAGAGAAGGUCUGGCCACGGGCAGAAUCCCCUGCCCUGGCUGGAGCUCUGACUCCACGUCUAGCUUUUAGUAAGUCCUUGUGGACCCAGUCUCCCUCGUCCCCACCCUGGCUCCCUCCUCACCCCCGGGGGCAAUCACUGUGGGCACUGGGUGGGGAGUGUGUGCACAUGUGCCCUUCCAGAUCUUUUCUCCGUAUCUACGUACAUACUGAUGUCCCCGUCCCCGCAGCUCAGGGGCGGGGUUAGACACCAUGUGAGAUGCACGCGUGCAGUGUGGAAGAUUCUGCGCGUCCCUAUUGCAAGGGGUCCCCGCAGUAAAGCUCUGUAUGUGGUGUGUCUUUGGACGUGGAUAUGCGGAGAAGAUUCCCCCGCUUCUAAAGAACCAGGCUGCUUCCUCCCUUUCCAAUAAGCAGCCCUUUAGUCCUGACUGUUUCCCGCUUUGGCCUGGCCUCCAAGAAGUCCAGGGUGAAAUCUUGCCUACCGCCUUAAUCUUUAAGAGUCACGCGCGCGCACGUGUGUGUGUGUGUGUGUGUGUGUGUGUGUGUGUGUGUGUACGGUUGUUUCCUUGGCGCUCAUGUUUUCCUCCUUGCUUAACUGGAGUUACCUUUAUGCCCCUGUCGAUGCUGCCUCAAACCCCUUCCGUAACGGGUUUUCAAAAGGACGCUUCGUGAAACCCUACGGUUGGCAUGUGAUUUGUGGGAACAUCCUUCCUCGUCCACAUCCCGACUUUGUCGUCCUUCUGUAUCUUCCUUCUUUACAGGCGCCGAGAACCAGCCAUGUUGAGACAGUCAUGCAUUUUUAAUACAUCGGUAUUAAUAUUA